rnacentral:rRNA from 1 species
GGCAAACCCGGUGAACUGAAACAUCUAAGUAACCGGAGGAAAGGACAUCAACCGAGACUCCGUUAGUAGCGGCGAGCGAAAGCGGACCAGGCCAGUAACUCAAUUGUAAGAACCGGAAUUGUCUGGAAAGGCAAGCCAUAGUAGGUGAUAGCCCUGUACGGGUAGAAAAUAGUUGAGUUCUUGAGUAAGGCGGGACACGUGAAAUCCUGUCUGAACGUGGGGGGACCACCCUCCAAGCCUAAGUACUACUUAGUGACCGAUAGUGAACUAGUACCGUGAGGGAAAGGUGAAAAGUACCCCGAUGAGGGGAGUGAAAUAGUACCUGAAACUGGAUGCCUACAAGCAGUGGGAGCACCUUUAAGGUGUGACCGCGUACCUUUUGUAUAAUGGGUCAGCGACUUAAUCUAUGUAGCAAGCUUAAGCCGUUAGGUGUAGGCGAAGCGAAAGCGAGUCUUAAUAGGGCGAAUUAGUUGCAUGGAUUAGACCCGAAGCCGAGUGAUCUAGCUAUGGGCAGGUUGAAGGUGAGGUAACACUUACUGGAGGACCGAACCCACCUAUGUUGAAAAAUGGGGGGAUGACCUGUGGCUAGGGGUGAAAGGCCAAUCAAACUCGGAAAUAGCUGGUUCUCCGCGAAAUCUAUUUAGGUAGAGCGUUAUGUGAUUGCCGCCGGGGGUAGAGCACUGGAUGGGCUAGGGGGACCCAAAGUCUUACCAAACCUAACCAAACUCCGAAUACCGGUGAGUACAGCGCAGCAGACAGACAUAGGGUGCUAAGGUCCUAUGUCGAAAGGGAAACAGCCCAGACCGCCAGCUAAGGUCCCUAAGUUAUGGCUAAGUGGAAAAGGAAGUGAGAAGGCCAAGACAGCCAGGAGGUUGGCUUAGAAGCAGCCAUCCUUUAAAGAAAGCGUAACAGCUCACUGGUCUAGUUAAGCCGUUUUGCGCCGAAGAUGUAUCGGGGCUCAAGCCAUACACCGAAGCUGCGGACUUCAGUUUACUGGAGUGGUAGCGGAGCGUUCCGUAAGCCUGUGAAGGUGUGCUGCGAGGCAUGCUGGAGGUAUCGGAAGUGAGAAUGCUGACAUGAGUAGCGACAAGGAGUGUGAGAAACACUCCCGCCGAAAGUCCAAGGGUUCCUGCGCAAGGCUAAUCCGCGCAGGGUGAGCCGGCCCCUAAGGCGAGGGCGAAAGCCGUAGUCGAUGGGAACCAGGUUAAUAUUCCUGGGCCUGCUGGAAGUGACGGAUACUGAUAGUUGUUCAUGCUUAUUGGAUUGUGUGGGCAGCGUNGGUGUUCCAGGAAAUAACUCCAGCGUAUAGACCGUACCCUAAACCGACACAGGUGGACAGGUAGAGUAUACCAAGGCGCUUGAGAGAACGAUGUUGAAGGAACUCGGCAAAUUGCACCCGUAACUUCGGGAUAAGGGUGACCUCUAUAUGGGCAACCGUUUAGAGGUGGCACAAAAGAGGGGGUGGCGACUGUUUACUAAAAACAUAGGGCUCUGCAAAGUCGCAAGACGAAGUAUAGGGUCUGACGCCUGCCCGGUGCCGGAAGGUUAAGGAGAGGGGUGNAAGCUCNGAACCGAAGCCCCGGUAAACGGCGGCCGUAACAAUAACGGUCCUAAGGUAGCGAAAUUCCUUGUCGGGUAAGUUCCGACCUGCACGAAUGGCGUAACGACUUCCCCACUGUCUCCAACAUCGACUCAGCGAAAUUGAACUCUCCGUGAAGAUGCGGAGUAACCGCGGUUAGACGGAAAGACCCCGUGCACCUUUACUAUAGCUUUGCAGUGGUAUUAGAAAAUAAAUGUGUAGGAUAGGUGGGAGCCUUUGAAGCGUUAGCGCCAGUUAGUGUGGAGGCAUCCUUGAAAUACCACCCUUUUGUUUUCUGAUAUCUAACCGAGGCCCGUGAAACCGGGUCCGGGACCCUGCAUGGUGGGUAGUUUGACUGGGGCGGUCGCCUCCCAAAGAGUAACGGAGGCGCGCGAAGGUAGGCUCAAGCUGGUCGGAAAUCAGCUGUUGAGUGCAAUGGCAUAAGCCUGCCUGACUGCGAGAGCGACAGUUCGAGCAGAGACGAAAGUCGGUCAUAGUGAUCCGGUGGUCCUGAGUGGAAGGGCCAUCGCUCAACGGAUAAAAGGUACGCCGGGGAUAACAGGCUGAU